rnacentral:rRNA from 1 species
UACGUAGGGUGCGAGCGUUAUUCGGAAUUACUGGGCGUAAAGCGCGCGCAGGCGGUUCGUCGCGUCCGAUGUGAAAGCCCCGGGCUUAACCUGGGAAUGGCAUUGGAAACUGGCGGGCUGGAGUAUGGCAGAGGGGGGUGGAAUUCCACGUGUAGCAGUGAAAUGCGUAGAGAUGUGGAGGAACACCGGUGGCGAAGGCAGCCCCCUGGGCCAAUACUGACGCUCAGGCACGAAAGCGUGGGGAGCAAACAGG